GAUCAUGGCUCAGGAUGAACGCUAGCGAUAGGCUUAACACAUGCAAGGUCGAGGGGCAGCACGGUGUAGCAAUACACUGGUGGCGACCGGCGUACGGGUGCGUAACACGUAUGCAACCUACCCGCUAUUGGGGGAUAACCCGGCGAAAGUCGGACUAAUACCCCAUAUUAUUCUUACCGGGCAUCCGGUGGGUCUGAAAGAUUUAUCGAUUGCGGAUGGGCAUGCGGAUGAUUAGCUAGUAGGUGGGGUAACGGCUCACCUAGGCGACGAUCAUUAGGGGUUCUGAGAGGAAGGUCCCCCCACACUGGAACUGAGACACGGUCCAGACUCCUACGGGAGGCAGCAGUGAGGAAUAUUGGUCAAUGGGCGCUAGCCUGAACCAGCCAAGUCGCGUGAAGGAUGACAAGAUCUAUGGUUUGUAAACUUCUUUUGCAGGGGAGUAAAGUGCGACACGUGUGUUGUAUUGCAAGUACCCUGCGAAUAAGCAUCGGCUAACUCCGUGCCAGCCGCUGC
rnacentral:rRNA from 1 species